CUAAACUCUUGUAUUUUGUAUUUUUGACCGUGUUUAUAUUGCUCAGUGUGUCCAAAAUCUGGUGGGAAGCUGCUAAUGAACCACGAGUUUUAACGACCAGAGAGUGGCUCGAUAGACUCUUCGAAACAAAAAAAGCGUUCCUUCGCAUCGGAUUUGACGAAGAUCAAGAGUAUUUUAGAUCUUAUUUCGUGCUAUAGAUUUAUUUACAACUUCACAUGUAUCAUGGUUUUCUGAACGGCAAAAUGUUUUACUAGGAGAAAAAUAAUGUUUAAUAUAUCCGCAGAAACGGGCCAUAUGUCGGAAGAUUGGGUUAGAAGCUACCGAAUCGAAAGCCCAACAAGAUAUCGAACCAAACCCUAUAGUUUUACUUUGGCAUACUUUAAACAGAUUUUCUGUAUCUGACGCCGUUCAUUUGUUUUACUUUCUCCUUAACAUCCGACGACUAUUCUUAUGAUAAAGAAAUAAUAUCCAAGUUAAAUAAAUAUUUACUCGACU